UACGAAGGGGGCUAGCGUUGUUCGGAAUUACUGGGCGUAAAGCGCGCGCAGGCGGUCUUCCAAGUCAGUGGUGAAAGCCCGGAGCUCAACUCCAGAACUGCCAUUGAAACUGUUAGACUUGAGUACGAGAGAGGUGAGUGGAAUUCCCAGUGUAGAGGUGAAAUUCGUAGAUAUUCGGAAGAACACCAGUGGCGAAGGCGGCUCACUGGACUGGUAUUGACGCUGAGGUGCGAAAGCGUGGGGAGCAAACAGG
rnacentral:rRNA from 1 species